rfam:Triticum urartu cultivar G1812 contig501974, whole genome shotgun sequence.
CAUAUACUCCCUCCGUUCGGAAUUACUUGUCACAAAAAUGGAUGUAUCUACAACUAAAAUACAUCUAGAUACAUUCAUUUCUUGGACGAGUAAUUCCGAACGGAGGGAGUAGAAA